AUUGAACGCUGGCGGCAUGCCUUACACAUGCAAGUCGAACGGUAACGCGGGGCAACCUGGCGACGAGUGGCGAACGGGUGAGUAACGCAUCGGAACGUGCCCAGUAGUGGGGGAUAGCCCGGCGAAAGCCGGAUUAAUACCGCAUACGACCUACGGGUGAAAGCGGGGGAUCGCAAGACCUCGCGCUAUUGGAGCGGCCGAUGUCAGAUUAGGUAGUUGGUGGGGUAAAGGCCUACCAAGCCGACGAUCUGUAGCUGGUCUGAGAGGACGACCAGCCACACUGGGACUGAGACACGGCCCAGACUCCUACGGGAGGCAGCAGUGGGGAAUUUUGGACAAUGGGCGCAAGCCUGAUCCAGCCAUGCCGCGUGCGGGAUGAAGGCCUUCGGGUUGUAAACCGCUUUUGUCAGGGAAGAAACGCUCUGGGCUAAUACCCCGGGGUAAUGACGGUACCUGAAGAAUAAGCACCGGCUAACUACGUGCCAGCCGCCGCCGUAAAAC
rnacentral:rRNA from 1 species